UGGGGAAUAUUGCACAAUGGGCGAAAGCCUGAUGCAGCAACGCCGCGUGAGUGAUGAAGGUCUUCGGAUUGUAAAGCUCUGUCUUUUGGGACGAUAAUGACGGUACCAAAGGAGGAAGCCACGGCUAACUACGUGCCAGCAGCCGCGGUAAUACGUAGGUGGCGAGCGUUGUCCGGAUUUACUGGGCGUAAAGGGUGCGUAGGCGGAUGUUUAAGUGAGAUGUGAAAUACCCGGGCUUAACUUGGGUGCUGCAUUUCAAACUGGAUAUCUAGAGUGCAGGAGAGGAGAAUGGAAUUCCUAGUGUAGCGGUGAAAUGCGUAGAGAUUAGGAAGAACACCAGUGGCGAAGGCGAUUCUCUGGACUGUAACUGACGCUGAGGCACGAAAGCGUGGGUAGCAAACAGGAUUAGAUACCCUGGUAGUCCACGCCGUAAACGAUGAGUAUUAGGUGUAGGAGGUAUCGACCCCUUCUGUGCCGCAGUAAACACAUUAAGUACUCCGCCUGGGAAGUACGAUCGCAAGAUUAAAACUCUAAAGUGAAUUGACGGGGUC
rnacentral:rRNA from 1 species